GUGCUUGCUUCAGCAGCACAUGUACUAAAAUUGGAACAAUACAGAGAAAAUUAGCAUGGCCCUUGCAAAGAAAUAUAAAGGCAAAGAUGGAAGGCAAGAAAAU